UCUCUCGUCACCCCGCGCCCGACCGGUGGACCCGCCCCCACAUCCCCGGACCCCCGCCGGCGCCGCCCGCGAUGCUCCGCGCCGCCAUCUCGCGCCUCGGCGCCCACCUGCACCGCCAGCCCUCCCCGGCGACGCCUCCCCUCCGCGCCCUCUCCACCGGCCGCGGCAAGCGCUCGUCCCCCACCGCGCCGCCCCCCGAGCCCGAGGACGAGGGCCUCAUGCGCGGCCUCUUCGUGCUCUCCCGCGACCCCGCGCACCCGCCGCGCCUGCUGGUGGUGCAGCCGCGCCUCCGCCGUGGCGCCCUCCUCGACUCCAAGCUCUCCGAGGCGCUCAACCUCGCCAGUUCCCUCGAGGAGUCCCGCGACGGCUUCGAGCACGCCGAGUCCGCCGCCAAGGGCGCGCCGCCGCACCUCGUCGUCCAGAACCCAGCCUCCCGCGGCCGCAACCAUGCUGAUACGUAUUUUGGACCUGGAACUGUGGAUAAUAUCAAGUGUUACCUGAGGGCAUUGGACGAAAAGGAAGAAUUAGAUGCAGUUUUUGUUAAUACGCUCCUCUCUGGGGUCCAACAGAGGAACUUGGAGGUUGCCUGGGGAAAGCCAGUUUUAGAUCGUGUGGGCCUUAUAAUUGAGAUAUUCAAUGCUCAUGCUGAAACAAAGGAAGCAAAGCUACAGUCAGAGUUAGCAGCUCUCAUGUACAUGAAGACUAGGCUUGUCCGUGUCCGCGGCCCAGGUGGAAAACUAGCUUUUGGUGCAAGUGGGGAAGCUGAAGUUGUCAGUGCUCGAGGGAGAGGAAGUGGCGGACGGGGUUUCAUGAGUGGUGCUGGUGAAACGGAACUUCAACUACAACGCAGGAGAAUCCAAGAACGUCGUCUAAGCUUGUUAGCUCAAAUUGAAGAUGUACGCCGAACUAGGGCGAUACAACGUUCGAGUCGAAAGAGGCAUGGUGGCUCAUUUGGUCAAGACCUUGUAACUGUGGCAGUCGUUGGAUAUACAAAUGCUGGAAAAUCUACUCUAGUGAGUGCACUUUCUGGAGCUGGUCUAUACAGUGAUGAUAGAUUAUUUGCAACAGUAGAUCCUCGAUUACGCAGUGUGAUUCUUCCAUCAGGGAGAAAAAUACUUCUCAGUGAUACCGUUGGCUUCAUAUCAGAUUUGCCUGUACAGCUAGUGGAAGCAUUUCAUGCCACCCUGGAAGAAGUUGCUGAGGCAGACAUGUUAGUGCAUGUGUUGGAUUCCAGCGCACCUGAUCUUGAGGAGCAUCGUUCUACUGUUCUACAAGUACUGCAGCAAAUUGGUGUUUCACAGGAUAAGAUCAACAAUAUGAUCGAAGUUUGGAAUAAGAUUGAUCUUGUGGAUAAUAUUGCUCUGACUGAUGGGAUUGAAGACGAGAUCUUUCUUACUGAAGGUGAAGAGGAGGAAGACUUGUUCUCUGAAGAUGAUGUGUCAUCAGAGCAGUCGUCUUUUGAUUCCUUGGAUGAUACAGUGGAUUCAGAGUCUCUGUCAGAAAAAAGUUGUGAAAAUGAUGAUGAUAAAAUGGCAUCUGAAGAAUCGAUUGCUGAGCCUGUCGAGAUGAAAGCAAUGAACUCUGAACUGUUACCCGAAGAUCGUUUUAGAGAGUCUAAUGGCCCGGAAGCUAUAAGUACAAGUGCUUGCACUUUGACAGAGCCAGUAUCCACUUGUCAUGUGAAAACUUCAGCUGUGGCUGGGACAGGGUUGCAAGAGUUGCUGCAGUUAAUUGAUACGAAACUGAAUGGACAGCAAACGGUUGUGCAGAGAAGCUAUGGACCUUUUGAUAGAAAAUGGAGACCUAGUUCUAUGGAUGACGAGAAGGCUGCAGAACAGUAGGACCGACGAGAUUGAAGUAGUACACUUGGCUGUCCGUAUCGCAGGAAGAAGUCAAUAUAGCUACACAGGUACCACAGUGUACUUUCGACAGAAGACCGCUGUCUUAUCGUUCAUGGUCCAACAAGCAACAUAUAUACUGUAAGAUUUUGCCUAUGAAUCCAGUCUACUGUCUGUUACACAGCAGAGCAGGAAGGUCAGGAACGUUGAAGAUGGAGAAGUUAUGGUCCUGUAACAUCACUGCCUGCUGCUUGACAAUACUAGUAGCACAUCAUAUUCACUGUUCAAAAAGACAUUUAUCCUUUCAUUCAAAUGAUGUUUAUAGGAAUUUUUCCUAUUAUCUUUGUUGUUUGAUUCAUGGGACUGAGAAUUUUUCCUUAGGAUUCUUUUGUACUUAGUACAUUUCAUAAAAACUUUAGCAUCGACUCAAUCCGCU
rnacentral:rRNA from 1 species